rnacentral:misc_RNA from 1 species
UCGUCAUCUCCCCUUCGGUUCCCUGUGUUGCAUACCUUCGAGACGGUAUCCUGUCGGCUAGAAUCGCCCCGUUUCGCCCGACGUCGCGAGCAACAUCGCGACCGAGGGCGAACCGAAAAGCACUCAUCGCGUUCCACCCCGUUCGCGUGACGCGCUGCGGGACACGGCCCGCGAUGACGUGCUCGAAUUCUCGGAUGCGGAACACGA